AUGAUUGUUUGGAAGGACAGUGCACAGGUUUCCACUUCUUCAGUUCAAGGCUACUGUACCCAGUUCUUUGCGGUGUUUCUAGCUUUUCUCUUUAAAAGGGCUGCCCAGUGGCAUCAUGCCGCUGGUAAACCAAUGAGAAGCCUUCACCUGCCAAAACCUCUCAGCAGGCAUCCCAGAGCACAAAAGGGCCACCUGGUGGUAAGAGCUCAGAACUGGUUUUCAAAAAGCUCAAUUCCUCUUUCAAGGCUUCUCUUACAGAGAACACAGAAAAAGCAGAACAGAAGGGACAAAAUGUCUUAUAAGGAGAAGUAAGUCAUUUAGCUGAGAAGGCAAUUUGGAGCUUCAGCAUUGUUGACAUAAUUGGACAUGGCCAUAUUGACUUGGGUCAAAACAGAAAUGAUUGAACAGCUAGAGAGGUGAGUUUUUUUCUUCCUCCCUGACAUUACAGAUGCUCUUUAAAACCGCAUUAAUUUCUGAGUCUCUGUGUGAUAUAUUGAAAGUGAUUUGAUACUUGGAGAAUAAGAAUACCAAUCAUUGGCCAUGAUCCUUAUCUGUGCAUAGCUUCACAUGCACAGUUGCAUGUCUCCACUGUCUAAAAGCAGUCAAGCCCAAGGGUAGGAUGGAAGAGGGACAAUUUAAUCCAUGAGAAGCAGCUGGUCUGAGCUCAAUCAGGAAGGACGUAAUGACGGUACACUUUCAAAUGGAAUGCACCCACUUUUUCCUUCCCCUGUGAGUCUAAAGCAGCUAGAAUUUCGCGAUCUAUAUCACAUACACACACCAGCUUCUCCAUAAGUAAACAUUAAUAACUGGUAGAAGACUCCAGGGUUUGCUACCUUCUGGAUGGUGUGAAAUUUUAUUUGCAUGGAUCACAAAAGCAAAGGGAAUUGACUUUUGUAUGCCAACCAAAAGCUGAAUUAUACACAUAUAAACUGCACUUACACAUGCAUAAAUUACUAACAGGAUGCCAGCCAUUGUAUAAGAAUAGCAAAACUCUUCUUCGUGAUAAGGGGGCAGGAUGUUUACUUCCCCCACUCCUUCACCUAAGUGCUCAUUUCUGAUUUAAUCUUCUAGUUUGUGCCAUUUGACAUCUGUUUAUCAGAAACGCAUGUACUUCUGGGAAUAUCCCCCUAAGUUUUUGAGCAUUCACAGAAUUAUGAGGAAAAGCUAACUCCCUAUUGCCCACUCUAUCUGCCACAAAGGGAUUAUAUUGUGUCAUCCCUACUUGCUGUUAAGAAGCAGGACAGGUGUUUCAUUGAUACAACACUACAAAUGUCCUUAGAAAACAGAGCUCACCAGCUGAGGCUCUGGGCUCAUGUGUGUUUCAGGUAGCUAUGUAUCCAUCAGCCAAGGUUAAGGCAGACUUUCAAUACUGAUGUAAUUGUCCAUUUGCCAACAUUUUUAGGAUGGUGGUGGGUAAGAUGAGGACUUUUUCUAGUAAUUCUGUUUGUUAUUAUUAUUAUUAAGAGAUUAUGCUUUGCACUUUUCCACCUGUAAAAGCAGUUGCCCUAGUUACUAGAGAGAAGUCAAGGAAACGUCUGGAAAGAACUCAUGGUAGCUUUGCAGGGUAUUAACUUGUUCCUGAUUAGAAGGAUAAUGAUGCAGGGCUUGCCAGGGCUUGAAGAAAGUACUGUCUUCUCUUAAAUUUUCUAUUUUCAAUAGCACAGUGGGGCUAGUGAGGCAUCUACCAAAGGGGGUAGGGAUCAUGAGGUUUAUGAACUAACAUAUAAUUGGUGCAUUAUAACCACAAAAAUAUCUUUUUUUCAAAGCUCUGAAAUCCUAAACAGAGGUCAUCCUAAUGAAACCUAUAGAGAACAUGGAAAUGGAAAGAAAACAGAAAAGUAGAACAUUAUGCUGGCCUAGCAACUUGUAGCCCAUGAAAGUAAAAUUUCCAGGAUUUCCCAGAACCCUAAGAUUCCAGGGAAUGGUGACUGAACAACCCUGAUUAAAAAACGUAUGCUUGUUUUGCAGAGUUAUCUGAAGAUAAAAUAGAAAGUGAUCAUGAACUGCAUGCUACAUAUUUUACUUAGUAUGUUUUUCAGCCCUUAGGCUCAAUGAGUCUUGUUCGGUUUUUAUGUGCUGUCUUCCUUAUUCUCUGCCAGGUUUUAAAGGCACCGUCAGGUUCUGUAUCCAUGAAUCCAACCAACCAUGACUCAAAAAUAUAAACAAUCCCAAAAAAUAAAUAUUGACUUUGCCUGCAUGCCAAACACUAUGCUCAUAUGUAGGUAUUAGGCUUGCUCAAAUAAUUCGUUUUCCCCGUUAACCGUUAUUAAUUCGUUAUUUUCGUUUGUUUUGAAGCAAUUUUGAAGCAUUGGUUGUCACACGUCUGGAUAUCGCGGUUUCGAAUCGCGAGAGGCCGUUUUUCGUUAUGUCGUCGUUUUUUUCGUUAGGAAAAAAAAGCUUUUGCAAAGCACCCAAACUCCCACCAUUCAGGCCCUUCCCUUUUGCCCCUCAGCAAAAGGGGCGUCACGGGCUCAGCCAAUGGGAGGGGGCGAGGGGGAAGGAGGCCGAGGAGGAGGAGGAAGACGGAGGGGGGAAAUGGCCGCCGCCGCCUCGCCUCAGCAGCUGAUAAUAAUUUAUUAUUAUUACCUCCCAAGGGUGAUCUCCCAAUAGCCUACCGAGGAAGGACUGGGCCAGGUUUCUGUCUUCGGGAGGGAGGCUCUCGCGUGUCAGCGCCCAGGAAGGCGAGGCCCGCACGUCGGAAAGGAGGCGCGUCCACGUGUCUUUCCUUUCUUCUUCCAGGAGGGAAGGAGGGGGAGAGGGAGGUCCCCCCUUGGUUGCCCUCUUUCCC
ensembl:lncRNA